UAGAGCUCCCUUCAAUCCAAA
rnacentral:snRNA from 1 species